AAUUGCCGGCAUUUUAUUUUUAUUUUUUCCCCGUCUGUCUCUUACGUUUGUCUGUAACCGUGUUUGUGUCCUCUGUAUUUCUCUGUGCGUGGUGAUUUGUGUGCCGGCUGCCGUGGAAGUGCGCUGUUUGAACUCCAGAGCUCUGGGUGUGUAUGUGUGUCUCUGGUGUGUCCGUGUGUGUGUGUGUGUGUGUGUGUGUGUGUGUGUGUGUGUGUGUGUGUGCUCUGUGCGGAAUGCUGUGUUUGAAAAGCGCUGUUUGUGUGAAUUUGCGUUGCUUUUGCUGCGUUUUAUUGUAAAGUUAUUAUGGACACUGAGUUGCGAAAUGUGCUAUAUGCUAUUUUUAUGGUCGGGGUUCGUGGAAGAGUCUUAAAGGGGGAAGUAGAACGAAGGCGAAACGUGGUGUUUUAGUUUUAAAAUAAGGGUUAAUUAAACUGGGACCAGAUAACGGGAAAUUAUUGGUUGCUGUUAAAUUUUAACAUAGGUUUGACAUGUCUCUUUUUAAACAUGCACGGGAUUUAAAAAGGUUCCUGAAGAUUGGAGUUUAAAAUUAAGUAAAUUUACACAUGAAAAUAUGUUAAUAAAACAUUGGACAAUUUCUGAAGCUUCAGUAAAUUUGAUAUAAAUUACAGAAAAAUUUGAUAAAAUUACAGUAAAAUUUGAUAGAAUAAUGACCACAGACUGACACUUGGGGACUGAUGAAAUUUUGACUGACUAUAAAACUUGGCCAGAUGUUUUGUGUUUUGUGUUUUUUGUAAUGUGUUGUGUUUGUGUUGUAUGUCUUCGUUUGUGGUGUAAUUCAUGUUGGUGUGAAAGAUUGUGUGAUUGGAGAUAGGAUACCACUUGGUAUUUUAUGUCAUUUAAAUACAACGGGAAUGUAAACAGCACCUCUGUAUGUGGAUGCAAUAAGCAAGAAUUUCUCACUUGGAUGCCAAGUAGAAGCAGAAAUUACCCUGCAGAGUAUUUUUCGUGCUGUCUCGUGGUGUAACAAUUUCCAGUUUUUAGAACACCCUAUGUGUUAAACUGGACUAAAUUAUU